GACGAACGCUGGCGGCGUGCUUAACACAUGCAAGUCGAACGGAAAGGCCCUGCUUUUGUGGGGUGCUCGAGUGGCGAACGGGUGAGUAACACGUGAGUAACCUGCCCUUGACUUUGGGAUAACUUCAGGAAACUGGGGCUAAUACCGGAUAGGAGCUCCUGCUGCAUGGUGGGGGUUGGAAAGUUUCGGCGGUUGGGGAUGGACUCGCGGCUUAUCAGCUUGUUGGUGGGGUAGUGGCUUACCAAGGCUUUGACGGGUAGCCGGCCUGAGAGGGUGACCGGCCACAUUGGGACUGAGAUACGGCCCAGACUCCUACGGGAGGCAGAAGGGGGGAAUAUUGCACAAUGGGCGGAAGCCUGAUGCAGCAACGCCGCGUGCGGGAUGACGGCCUUCGGGUUGUAAACCGCUUUCGCCUGUGACGAAGCGUGAGUGACGGUAAUGGGUAAAGAAGCACCGGCUAACUACGUGC
rnacentral:rRNA from 1 species